rnacentral:rRNA from 1 species
GAUGAACGCUGGCGGCGUGCCUAACACAUGCAAGUCGAACGAAGAGGCCCCUUCGGGGGUACUUCAGUGGCGGACGGGUGAGUAACACGUAGGUGACCUGCCCCGAAGCAGGGGAUAACGGCUCGAAAGGGCCGCUAAUACCCAAAAGGGUCGCGUAUCAAAGCGCGAUCAGAGUUACGGCGUUUCGGGAGGGGCCUGCGGCCCAUCAGCUAGUUGGUAGGGUAAUGGCCUACCAAGGCGACGACGGGUAGGGGGCCUGAGAGGGUGACCCCCCACAUUGGCACUGACACACGGGCCAAACUCCUACGGGAGGCAGCAGUGAGGAAUAUUGCGCAAUGAGCGAAAGCUAGACGCAGCAACGCCGCGUGGACGAUGAAGGCCUUCGGGUCGUAAAGUCCUUUUCAGGGGGACGAGAGAGGACGGUACCCCCUGGAAUAAGUCACGGCUAACUACGUG